rnacentral:rRNA from 1 species
UACGAGGGGGGCGAGCGUUGUUCGGAAUUAUUGGGCGUAAAGGGUGCGUAGGCGGUUUGAUAAGUCUGAUGUGAAAUCUAUGGGCUCAACCCAUAGCCUGCAUUAGAAACUGUCGGGCUUGAGUAUGGGAGAGGUGAGUGGAAUUUCCGGUGUAGCGGUGAAAUGCGUAGAUAUUGUCAAGAACACCGAUUGCGAAGGCAGCUUACUAAAGUGUCACUGACGCUGAGGCACGAAAGUGCGGGGAUCAAACAGG